rnacentral:rRNA from 1 species
GAUGAACGCUGGCGGCGUGCCUAAUACAUGCAAGUAGAACGCUGAAGCUUGGUGCUUGCACCGAGCGGAUGAGUUGCGAACGGGUGAGUAACGCGUAGGUAACCUGCCUGGUAGCGGGGGAUAACUAUUGGAAACGAUAGCUAAUACCGCAUAACAGUCGACAUUGCAUGAUGUUGAUUUGAAAGGGGCAAUUGCUCCACUACCAGAUGGACCUGCGUUGUAUUAGCUAGUUGGUGAGGUAACGGCUCACCAAGGCGACGAUACAUAGCCGACCUGAGAGGGUGAUCGGCCACACUGGGACUGAGACACGGCCCAGACUCCUACGGGAGGCAGCAGUAGGGAAUCUUCGGCAAUGGGGGCAACCCUGACCGAGCAACGCCGCGUGAGUGAAGAAGGUUUUCGGAUCGUAAAGCUCUGUUGUAAGAGAAGAACGAGUGUGAGAGGGAAAGUUCACA